UGGGGAAUAUUGCGCAAUGGGGGAAACCCUGACGCAGCAACGCCGCGUGAAGGAUGAAGGUUUUCGGAUUGUAAACUUCUUUUAUAGGGGACGAUAAUGACGGUACCCUAAGAAUAAGCUCCGGCUAACUACGUGCCAGCAGCCGCGGUAAUACGUAGGGAGCAAGCGUUAUCCGGAUUUACUGGGUGUAAAGGGCGAGUAGGCGGGACUUUAAGUCAGAUGUGAAAUCUGGGGGCUUAACCCCCAGCCUGCAUUUGAAACUGAAGUUCUUGAGUGAUGGAGAGGCAGGCGGAAUUCCCAGUGUAGCGGUGAAAUGCGUAGAUAUUGGGAGGAACACCAGUGGCGAAGGCGGCCUGCUGGACAUUAACUGACGCUGAGGCGCGAAAGCGUGGGGAGCAAACA
rnacentral:rRNA from 1 species